rnacentral:rRNA from 1 species
AUGAACGCUAGCUACAGGCUUAACACAUGCAAGUCGAGGGGCAGCAUGGUCUUAGCUUGCUAAGGCUGAUGGCGACCGGCGCACGGGUGAGUAACACGUAUCCAACCUGCCGUCUACUCUUGGCCAGCCUUCUGAAAGGAAGAUUAAUCCAGGAUGGCAUCAUGAGUUCACAUGUCCGCAUGAUUAAAGGUAUUUUCCGGUAGACGAUGGGGAUGCGUUCCAUUAGAUAGUAGGCGGGGUAACGGCCCACCUAGUCAACGAUGGAUAGGGGUUCUGAGAGGAAGGUCCCCCACAUUGGAACUGAGACACGGUCCAAACUCCUACGGGAGGCAGCAGUGAGGAAUAUUGGUCAAUGGGCGAUGGCCUGAACCAGCCAAGUAGCGUGAAGGAUGACUGCCCUAUGGGUUGUAAACUUCUUUUAUAAAGGAAUAAAGUCGGGUAUGCAUACCCGUUUGCAUGUACUUUAUGAAUAAGGAUCGGCUAACUCCGUGCCAGCAGCCGCGGUAAUACGGAGGAUCCGAGCGUUAUCCGGAUUUAUUGGGUUUAAAGGGAGCGUAGAUGGAUGUUUAAGUCAGUUGUGAAAGUUUGCGGCUCAACCGUAAAAUUGCAGUUGAUACUGGAUGUCUUGAGUGCAGUUGAGGCAGGCGGAAUUCGUGGUGUAGCGGUGAAAUGCUUAGAUAUCACGAAGAACUCCGAUUGCGAAGGCAGCCUGCUAAGCUGCAACUGACAUUGAGGCUCGAAAGUGUGGGUAUCAAACAGGAUUAGAUACCCUGGUAGUCCACGCUGUAAACGAUGAAUACUAGGUGUAGGCAAGAAAUUGUCUGUGCCGCAGUUAACACAAUAAGUAAUCCACCUGGGGAGUACGACCGCAAGGUUGAAACUCAAAGGAAUUGACGGGGGCCCGCACAAGCAGUGGAGUAUGUGGUUUAAUUCGAAGCAACGCGAAGAACCUUACCAGGUCUUGACAUCCGAUGCAUAGCACAGAGAUGUGUGAAAUCCUUCGGGACAUCGAGACAGGUGGUGCAUGGUUGUCGUCAGCUCGUGCCGUGAGGUGUCGGCUUAAGUGCCAUAACGAGCGCAACCCUUGUUGUCAGUUACUAACAGGUGAUGCUGAGGACUCUGACAAGACUGCCAUCGUAAGAUGUGAGGAAGGUGGGGAUGACGUCAAAUCAGCACGGCCCUUACGUCCGGGGCUACACACGUGUUACAAUGGGGGGUACAGAGGGCCGCUACCACGCGAGUGGAUGCCAAUCCCUAAAACCCCUCUCAGUUCGGACUGGAGUCUGCAACCCGACUCCACGAAGCUGGAUUCGCUAGUAAUCGCGCAUCAGCCACGGCGCGGUGAAUACGUUCCCGGGCCUUGUACACACCGCCCGUCAAGCCAUGGGAGCCGGGGGUACCUGAAGUGCGUAACCGCGAGGAUCGCCCUAGGGUAAAACUGGUGACUGGGGCU